CCAGCCCUACCUUGGUUGAUCCUUGCCCCUAGACCCAGCAGAGGACGGUGCGCGUCCAUCCUAUGGGACACGGCCGUAACCCCUUCCCCAGCCCCCACUUUAGCACACCCUGCAGAGCAGAGGCCUGACCUGAGCUGGCUCUAAACAGCUCCCUGAGGCUGGAGGCCAGACAGCCACAAGCCAGGAGCAAGAUUCUAGAAUACAAAGCUAUUAUAAUAAGGAGUUUCUCUGCAAGGCCAAAAGCCUCAGACAUUAAUAGAGGCAGAAGAUGAGUUGCAGACCCUGAAGCCCCAGUCAUGGACCUCGCCUCCUCCACCGGGCUGGUAUGACCUCUGCCUGUAAUCUUUCAGUCCUCCUGCCCAGCCAAGCUACCAAGGUGGGGUGUCCGCCAGAACCACUGGGGCCAGGCAAUAUGAUGACAGCAACAGUCCAGGCUGCAGCCUGUGGCAGCUAUGCUCAUGGAAACUCAAGGAAGGUGUUUGCAUCCAUGCUUCUACCAGAAGACUAAAAGGAAGCCAUGUCCUCCCACCCAGCCCUCCAGAGUGAAGGUAUAGAAAUGCAGAGUAAAAGAUGGAGGGAACCAGAGGUGGGCCCCUUGCUCAGCUGCUGUGUCCUCUGGACACUUCCUUUCCAACAGGGACCCUGGAAGUUCCAGCUAGGAAGAGAGGUCAUUGUGAGCCCACGGCCAGCCUGGUGCCAUCUGGUAACUUCCAGCACCAACCCUGCAGGUGGCUUUGGGAAGCAUCGCUGUCCUGCACCCUGCUUUUCCCUGUCACUAAGGUUCAGCCCUGGGAGGUGGGCUGGGGAGGACAGUGCCUGAGAGCCCAGCACACACCUGCCUUCAUGGUCCCGAGCUCCAGCUGAGCAGUCUUCCUCUUUCCUGAGGAGCCGAUGACAUGCUGUGACCUACUCAGGCAGGGCCCCUGGUUGCUAGGGAAUCAGUUCACCACCUCUGGAAAGUGGCAAUAUCGCUGCUGUGAGUAGGCCCAAAGUGGGCCUUUCCCUGGCACCGCCUCUGAGCCUUAUCCCCGGGGUGAGAAAAACGAAGGUUGGGGGACGCCAAGGGCCCUCCUCGGUCCCUGCUGCCCAUCCUCAAGGACUGACCUGCCCUCCUGGAUCUGGCCUAAGCUGAGUUAUAAGCUCCCUGCCAAGACAACAUCCAUCGUGCCAUGUACUACUGUUGUCAACUUUAGGGGGAUGUGGAAAGGAAGGACGCACAGACCUUGGUCCAUUACAGUGGACCCCAGGGAGCUGUCUUUGUUGUCCAGCUUUAUGAUACAGCUUGGGGUUACACAGGCAUCGCCCACAUGAUGGUGCUAUCAGGGACUGGGGAUGUGAGGAGGUGGGGCCCAGGGCCCGCUUUCAAGCCCCACCCCUCCUUGAGACAAGGUCUUACUCCAGCCCAGGCUGGAGUGCAGUGCUAGGAUCAUGGCUCACUGCAGUCUUGGCCUCCUGCCUCAGCCUCAGCAUCCUGAGCAGCUGGGACCACAGGUACACACAACACCGCACCUGACUUCGCUUUCAGAGUCCAAAGCCCUCAUAGGGCCAUUGUGAGGCUAGGGCAUCCCCACCCCAUAUGUGGUUAACUCAUGCCUAUGAAUUACCAUUUUGUUUGUUGUUAUUGUUUGUUUUUGUAAAGCUAGGAUCUUGCUAUGCUGCCCAGGCUGGUCUUGAACUCCUGACCCCAAUCCUCCCGUCUCAGCCCCCGAAAGUGCUGGAAUUACGGGCCUGAGCCACCAAGCCCAGCCUGCACUAACAUUUCACAGGGAAUGAUGGACCAAUGCUGGAGGACCUUGAUUCCAGGACUGGCUGUGCUCAAUAGCAGAGCAGCUGUGUGUCUUUGGGCAAAUCACACCUCUCUGGGCUGCAGGUCCUCCAUUUGUAAAAUGAGCACGAUAAUGCCUACCUACUGACCUCACGCACUCCCUGCAAAGAUUAAAUGAGCAAUGACUGUAGGCUGUGGAGUGCUGUAUCUCCAAGUAACAUUGACUUUCAGCCUCAUAGAGAGGAAGGAAACAGGGACGAGAGGUGACACUGCAGCUAAGCCAAAGGGAACAGGUGUGUGUGACAUGGGACUGGGGGACCAGUUAAAACCGGCCCCAGGCAUAAACAGACAGGGUGCUCUGGGCGCUGAGCAGGAGAAGCAGACAGGUCAGUCUGGGCUGGCAGACAGUUCGGGAGAGAAAUGGCUGUCAGCAAACAUCUGAAGGGCAAGAGGAAAGACACAGGAGUGAGAGGCUCAGAAUGCAAGAGGCAUCCAGUCCCAAACUUCACUCCCGAGAACUCAGGAGCUGGUGAGCAUUGCCCCAAAGCUCCCAGGCACACCAGCAUUUUGCUAAUACACACAUAACGCCACACCCUCAGAGUCCAAAGCCCUCAUAGGGGCAGCCUUGACCUCUGGCCCAGAGACCCCAGCAAAGUGACUCACCUGAGGUAAGAAGCCUGUGUAAGACUGAACUGAGGUCUCCUCUUAAGUCAGAGGCUCAAAGCCCAAAGCACGCUGCUAAGCUCUUACUACAACACUCCAUUCCUGGCUUUGCCAAGCUGAGUCAAAUACCUGUCCCCUCACAAACUGGAAGUGACAGAGAACUGAGUCCAAAAGAGCGCUAUUUUUGUUUUUCUGUACCUGAAACUGGCACCACUGUCCUGGGCAUUCUCUUCCAAAGGAGGAGACAGAGGGGGAGCACGACUCACCCCAAAUCCCUCAACAGAAUUGAGAAAACACAGCCACACCAGAGCCAUGUCCUCAUCCCAGUGCCAGCAAGAAACAGCACAGGAGGGUGGGCAUUCAGGAAGCUGACGUCACUGAAUGUCUCCAUCUCAGACCUUUCCUAACACCAGCUAUCACACAGAUCUCCCCCCGGGCCAUUAAGAGGAAGGGACCAUUUGCCAUAAAAAUCAACACUUUAGGCUGGGCGCGGUGGCUCACGCCUGUAAUCCCAGCACUUUGGGAGGCUGCGUCCGGAAGAUCACCUGAGGUCAGGAGUUUGAAUCCAGCCUG
rnacentral:lncRNA from 1 species